rnacentral:lncRNA from 11 species
CCAACUGUUUCACAGACUUGCAAAGCCUUUCUUCCAGCUAUGAUUGCCCACAACGAAGGUCAUUUGGUUUCUAUUGUUAGUGAUACAGCACUAGCAGGGGGGAAUAAACUAACAGAUUACGCUGCAAGUAAAGCCGCAGCAUUUGGAUUUUUGGAAUCUCUUGCUUUUGAAAUGAGAGCUGCAGGAAAGAAAGGCAUUAAAACCACAAUUGUCUGUCCUUAUUAUGUGGACACAGAAUUAGUUACAGGGGUACAAACAACCCGACCAUUUCUACUUCCUAUCUUCGAUGUAGGCUAUGUUGGGAAGAAGAUUGUGGAUGGUAUUCUGAAAGAGAAACUUUAUGUUGUCAUGCCACCAUAUGCCCGAUUCAUUCUUCUUAAAAUGUAAGCAUAUAUCUCUGCUGU